AGUCGAACGGUGAACACGGAGCUUGCUCUGUGGGAUCAGUGGCGAACGGGUGAGUAACACGUGAGCAACCUGCCCCUGACUCUGGGAUAAGCGCUGGAAACGGCGUCUAAUACUGGAUAUGUGACGUGACCGCAUGGUCUGCGUCUGGAAAGAAUUUCGGUUGGGGAUGGGCUCGCGGCCUAUCAGCUUGUUGGUGAGGUAAUGGCUCACCAAGGCGUCGACGGGUAGCCGGCCUGAGAGGGUGACCGGCCACACUGGGACUGAGACACGGCCCAGACUCCUACGGGAGGCAGCAGUGGGGAAUAUUGCACAAUGGGCGCAAGCCUGAUGCAGCAACGCCGCGUGAGGGAUGACGGCCUUCGGGUUGUAAACCUCUUUUAGCAGGGAAGAAGCGAAAGUGACGGUACCUGCAGAAAAAGCGCCGGCUAACUACGUGCCAGCAGCCGCGGUAAUACGUAGGGCGCAAGCGUUAUCCGGAAUUAUUGGGCGUAAAGAGCUCGUAGGCGGUUUGUCGCGUCUGCUGUGAAAUCCGGAGGCUCAACCUCCGGCCUGCAGUGGGUACGGGCAGACUAGAGUGCGGUAGGGGAGAUUGGAAUUCCUGGUGUAGCGGUGGAAUGCGCAGAUAUCAGGAGGAACACCGAUGGCGAAGGCAGAUCUCUGGGCCGUAACUGACGCUGAGGAGCGAAAGGGUGGGGAGCAAACAGGAUUAGAUACCCUGGUAGAAGGGC
rnacentral:rRNA from 1 species